UUAAGUUAAUAAGGGCGCACGGUGGAUGCCUUGGCACUAGAAGCCGAUGAAGGACGUGACUAACGACGAAAUGCUUUGGGGAGCUGUAAGUGAGCAAUGAUCCAGAGAUGUCCGAAUGGGGGAACCCGGCAGGUAAUGCCUGUCACUCAUUACUGUUAAGGUAAUGUAGAGGAAGACGCAGUGAACUGAAACAUCUAAGUAGCUGCAGGAAGAGAAAGCAAAAGCGAUUGCCUUAGUAGCGGCGAGCGAAACGGCAAGAGGGCAAACCGAAGAGUUUACUCUUCGGGGUUGUAGGACUGCAACGUGGACUUAAAGAUUAUAGAAGAACUACCUGGGAAGGUAGGCCAAAGAGAGUAAUAGCCUCGUAUUCGAAAUAGUCUUUAUACCUAGCAGUAUCCUGAGUACGGCGAGACACGAGAAAUCUCGUCGGAAUCUGGGAGGACCAUCUCCCAACCCUAAAUACUCUCUAGUGACCGAUAGUGAACCAGUACCGUGAGGGAAAGGUGAAAAGCACCCCGGGAGGGGAGUGAAAUAGAACCUGAAACCGUGUGCCUACAACAAGUUCGAGCCCGUUAAUGGGUGAGAGCGUGCCUUUUGUAGAAUGAACCGGCGAGUUACGAUAUGAUGCGAGGUUAAGUUGAAGAGACGGAGCCGUAGGGAAACCGAGUCUUAAUAGGGCGCAUUAGUAUCAUGUCGUAGACCCGAAACCAUGUGACCUACCCAUGAGCAGGUUGAAGGUGAGGUAAAACUCACUGGAGGACCGAACCAGGGCACGUUGAAAAGUGCUUGGAUGACUUGUGGGUAGCGGAGAAAUUCCAAACGAACUUGGAGAUAGCUGGUUCUCUCCGAAAUAGCUUUAGGGCUAGCGUCGAUGUUAAGUCUCUUGGAGGUAGAGCACUGUUUGGGUGAGGGGUCCAUCCCGGAUUACCAAUCUCAGAUAAACUCCGAAUGCCAACGAGAUAUAAUCGGCAGUCAGACUGCGAGUGCUAAGAUCCGUAGUCGAAAGGGAAACAGCCCAGACCACCAGCUAAGGUCCCAAAAUAAUUGUUAAGUGGAAAAGGAUGUGGGGUUGCACAGACAACUAGGAUGUUAGCUUGGAAGCAGCUAUUCAUUCAAAGAGUGCGUAAUAGCUCACUAGUCGAGUGACCCUGCGCCGAAAAUGUACCGGGGCUAAAACAAUUUACCGAAGCUGUGGAUACCUUUAUAGGUAUGGUAGGAGAGCGUUCUAUGUGUGGAGAAGGUGUACCGUGAGGAGCGCUGGAACGCAUAGAAGUGAGAAUGCCGGUAUGAGUAGCGAAAGACAGGUGAGAAUCCUGUCCACCGUAAGACUAAGGUUUCCAGGGGAAGGCUCGUCCGCCCUGGGUUAGUCGGGACCUAAGGAGAGACCGAAAGGUGUAUCCGAUGGACAACAGGUUGAUAUUCCUGUACUAGAGUAUAUAGUGAUGGAGGGACGCAGUAGGCUAACUAAAGCGUGCGACUGGAAGUGCACGUCUAAGCAGUGAGGUGUGAAUUGAGUCAAAUGCUUAAUUCUAUAACAUUGAGCUGUGAUGGGGAGCGAAGUUUAGUAGCGAAGUUAGUGAUGUCACACUGCCGAGAAAAGCUUCUAGCGUUAAUUAUACUCUACCCGUACCGCAAACCGACACAGGUAGUCGAGGCGAGUAGCCUCAGGUGAGCGAGAGAACUCUCGUUAAGGAACUCGGCAAAAUGACCCCGUAACUUCGGGAGAAGGGGUGCUGGCUUUCAGUCAGCCGCAGUGAAUAGGCCCAAGCAACUGUUUAUCAAAAACACAGCUCUCUGCUAAAUCGUAAGAUGAUGUAUAGGGGGUGACGCCUGCCCGGUGCUGGAAGGUUAAGAGGAGUGCUUAGCAAUAGCGAAGGUAUGAAUUGAAGCCCCAGUAAACGGCGGCCGUAACUAUAACGGUCCUAAGGUAGCGAAAUUCCUUGUCGGGUAAGUUCC
rnacentral:rRNA from 1 species